GAUUGGGUUUUCUUUUGCUGAAAUUGCAAUUGCUUCCUCCGCCUUCUUCUUCCACUUACAUAUCGGCCAUGGCUUCAACUGAAAUUAGUUGCCGCUUCAUUUUUUUUUAUUCUGAUUAUUUAUCUCAUCAUUAGUUCUGUUUUUUUUCUUUACCUGAAACUGAUGGCGUCUUCAUUACCAAUCUGAGAAACCGGUGAGGAGAUGCGGAAAUUCAAAGAUGAAAUUGGUUGCAAUGAAACAAGCCGGUGCUGCUAAUGGAAGAAUCAAGAGAUGGGGUCUGUUUGAAUUCUUAUUACAUCAUAUUUUGUGUCACAGAUUUGGAUUUGGUCGUUGUCGAAGAAAUCAGAGAAGAAAUCUGAGUUUGCUGUUGAUUUGAGAAGGUUGCUGGUGGAUUCAAAGAAUAGGGUGUAGUUGUUCGAUUCAGAAGGAAAGAAGGAACUGAAAUUGGUGUUUUCAUCAGUUUCUUAACUAUGUUUUUUACUCUGGUGUUGGAGUUAGGGUUACGAGAUUGAGAAGAUGAAGUUGGUUCUGAACCAAAAUUGAGACAGAGACGAAGAAUUGAAGCUGAUGAAAUCGAUGGGUUUCUGUGGUUGUUCAAAGUAUAGAUUGGGGUGAUUCAGGAAUUAGAAGUUAGGGUUGGAGCUCAGAUAAAAUGGGUUUCUUUUUGAGUUCGAAUUGGCAGCAAAUGAUGUUUAUGAUUGGUCUGUGAAUGUUUUGGAGAUAGGGGUUUGUGUUGGAUUCGUGAGUAAUUGCAUAUCUGAUUUGGAGAUGGGUUUUGAACUGAGAAUGGUUGAUGCCGGGAGGAUGGAUUUCUGGAUCAGAUGGAGCUGAAUUAGGGUUCUACAGCAAUUGAUGAAGCGGAGAAGACAAAAAUGAAGAGAGAAUCAAAGAAGCAAUUGGGGGUUCAAUUAGAGAAUAAUCAGGUCUGUAAACAGUGGGUUUGUGUUGGAUUUGAAGAAUACACACAAGAAGACAAGGUUGAGUUGUUGAAUUCAUAGAGAGUAUGGAAGUGAAUGAAAUGGGUACGAAAUGCUGCUGCAAUGAGGAACUGGUGGUGCUGUUUUAGUAAGAUGGCUUGAGCUGUGGAAAUAGAUGAGUUGUUGAUUCUGGUGGUGAUUCAUGAAGCUAUACAGUGGAUGUGAAAGGGAUUUGGUGAUUGCAGUUGCAACUGCAAAUAAGAAGAGUACAAGGUGUCAGCUGGUGUUGGUUAAUGAGCAGAUAGUGGCGGUACUGGAUUCGGAGGGAGAUGGAGUUGGCCUUGCAGGAAGUUGUUUGUUGCUGCUUCAAUGACAGAACUAUGGCCGGAGUGGAGUGCAGUAGUUUAUUGUGGAAAGAAUGAAUGAUAGGAAACUGCAGUUGUGUCAGCUUGGUGUUGGAUGCUGUUAUAGUAAUGCUGCAGUAGAUGAGAUUCCGCAACUGUAAAGCUGGGAUAUGCAGGUGUUGUAAUGCAAGAGCUAGAUGGUCAGAAUUGAGGCUUUGAGCUGAUGCAGAGCAGCUGUAUUUGGAAGCUACAGCCAAUGGUUGAGAGUUCUGAUUGCAAAUGCUUAGUAGUUGUUGCUGCUGGUGUUGCGGAGACAAUGGUGCUGUCGUUGCAGAAUGUGCGAGACUGGUUCUGGUGGAGUUGCAGCCACAGUGCUAAAUGACUAAGCGUACGGAGAAGACCAGAAUUGUUGGCAAGUAAGUUUUAUGCCUAUUCAUACUAGUGCAGAGAAGGACCUCCGAUUUGUAUAUUGUGCUGCUGCCAUAUCUUCUUUAUUGAAUGAUGAUUGGAGUGGGAUGGAUAUAUAGAAAGCCAAGGAAUAUAUAGUGAUCUGUCAGCGUAUGAUGGGGAUUUUCUACUGCACUGCAGACAUGGAAAGCAUAGGACGGGCAGUUUUAUUGGCUGUUUGAGGAAAAUGCAGAACUGGUGUUCUCCUGCCGUACUUGAAGAGUACCAGCGAUUUGCAGGUGCUAAAGCUAUGCCAACUGAUAUGAUGUUCAUUGAAAACUCUGGCACUUCACUAAAACGGCCGUUAAAACGGUCACGCCUAUAUAUCGUGGUCGUGAGGGUCCGCGAACCUCGUGCCUUUAUAAUGCCGAUAAAUAAGAAACAACGCCAGUUUUUUAGGGCCGUUUUUCAGUUUUCACACACGUUAUAACCGUUUUUCUAACAUUAGUUUGAAUGUUUUUUUCUUCUAAACAACAUUUUAACGUGCGUUUUUUAGAACUGUUUUCCCGUUAUCAUGCACGUUAUAAUCGUGUAAUUAGUUUUUUUUAUCAUUUUUUUUUAGUUUUUUUUCUUUCUCUGGAUUGAAGGAUUAAAACGUAGAAUUAAAAUUUUGAAAUAAUAUGGGGAAAGUAAACUACAUGAUUAAAAACUUCAAAUUUAAAAAACAUAAUAUUAUUAAACUAGUGUUUAUCAUUUAAAUAGUUACGCGAGUCAACUACGACCACCACCCGUUUUCGAUCUAUUCAUGUAUUUUUCAUUUUCUCGACGGUUCCUUUCCUUAUUAUAGUCAUCGUCACGGGAUACUGGCUGUCUUCGUUCGUAUAAGUAUCAUAAUCAUAAUAGCCUCCAUUAUCAUCAUCAUUGUUACCCACUUCAUUAUAUUUUAUUUUUAAUAUUAGAAUUAUAUCCUUCGUUCGUAUAAGUAUCAUAAUCAUAAUAGCCUCCAUUAUCAUCAUCAUUGUUACCCACUUCAUUAUAUUUUAUUAUUAAUAUUAGAAUUAUAUCCUUCGUUCAUAUAUUGGACAUCCUGGUCAGAGCGAUUGGUACUGUAGUGAAAAUUAUAUGUAUGAUUCACAUUCUCAUAACCUUGUGUAUUAUCUACGAAUGAAAGAUUACCAAAUUCAUAAACAAAGUCACUCACCGGUAACCUUUCGUAUGAGAUUUCAACUUCGGGAUCAUUCCAGUUGUAUGGUAGAUGGACGGGCUAUGGAUUAUUAAUGGCUUCCUCUUCCAGCAUAUUUAACAAUUGUUCUUCUUGAGGUAAUAAAAUCGGUGUUUCGUCUUCCCCGGCUAUCUAUUCAAGCAUAUUGUCAUCCCUCAAUAGACUAUGAUCGUCGUGAAUAUGAAUGUUAUUUUGCCUUGCUUUACCUUUAAUUCUUUUUUGCUCCAACUUCAAAUUGUACUGAACAUACACAAGAUUAUGUACUCUCGAUGAAAGUAAAUGAUUGUGUAGUUUGGAGUGGAUUCUUUAAACAUACUCCAAUUCUUCACUUAUCCA